CUCGGCCUGGUCCUCCGUCCCGUAGCUGUAGGAGGAUCCGAUGUUCACCAUCUGCAGAGGAGCAAGGAGAGGACGGCAGACAGAGACAGUGUUGUAGUUGGGCCGCCGUCCAGGAGAGGGCGCCGCUGGUCAUCCUGCGCGGAGCCAGAGAACAAAAUGGCGGACCCUAUUUAAGGAUGGAACAGAAACGAUCGCUAGAGUCCGGUUUGGGAGCAGCUGGAGGAGAACUUCCUGCUGACAUCAUUUCCUUCUGGAAAUGUAGGCUGAACUGGAAUCAACCAGCUGUGCUCCAGGAUCAUCACUGGUACCACUGGGUUGGUACUGGUGGUCUGAUCUCUGUGAAAGCCGCCAUGUUGGCUGAAAUGAAGCAGAGCCGAAGCAGUGAGAAGUCCUUCUCUCUUCAUGUGACUGAAUCCUUCGGCAGGCAGAUAAAAACUUUGGCCUCAAGCUGCUCUUUUAUUUCGAGCUUCAGCACAACAGGCUUGUUUGCAGCGAGUUGCAUAACCUGGGAGAACGGAUGAACACAGACAGGUUUUCUGUUAACCUGGGAUUAAAACCAAACCUUUCUAGAGACACAAAGAGAAUAUUAUUUAAACUUUGUAAUAAACUACAAAGUACUUUUUAUCCAUAAUGUAAUAAAAGUAUUUUAAGAGCAGUAGUGCAAAGUAUUUCAGACUAUAAAAUAAAAUCACACAAAACUAAAAGCAGGACUUUAACAAGUCCAUUUUAAUUAAUUACCUGGAUUUUACUAUCGUGAGGAAUUCUCUGUACUAAAGCUGGCAGAAAAGGGCUUUGAAUUGAAAAUGUUGCUGAUUUUGUUGAUGUAGGGUUUGAUUAAAAUGUGAUUGAUUAAUGAGACCAUGCAAACCGUUGAGCUGCAGAAAUGGAACCAAGCAGAAAUUUAAGAACAGAAAAACUUGAUUAGUCGGCAGAAAACGUGUCGAAUGUCAACAUCAGAAACAAUCAACGAUGUGGUCAGCCUGCAAAAGUGACUGUAUAAAAUAUGUCCAUUAUUUAGUUGAUCUAAUAAAUCUCCGUUUUCCCUAUCAAGUUACAAUCAGGUCUGAGUUAAAUAAUGAAUCAGGACUCGUCACAUCAGAUCCAGCAGUUUGUAAGACGAAGAAACAGAAGAAACAGGGAGGAGAAACUGGGCAGAAAGACUCAGCAAAACGGAAAAAAAAUUCAGCAAAACGGAAAAAAAAUUCAGCAAAACGGAAAAAAAAUUCAGCAAAACGGAAAAAAAAUUCAGAAAACAGUUUUAGAAACGUUGGGAGGGAAUCAGAGACUCUUAGUGAAACAGGAUGAGAGAAAACACAACA